AACCCAUGGUGAGGGCACCUUCUCAGUAAAUCAUUGUAUCUCUCCCAUGCAUCGUAAAGUGUUUCUAAGUCGAUCUGCACAAAAGAAGAAAUAUCAUUACGUAACUU
rfam:Gossypium hirsutum cultivar TM-1 chromosome 12, whole genome shotgun sequence